rnacentral:rRNA from 1 species
UUAGUGGCGGACGGGUGAGUAACGCGUGGAUAACCUGCCGUAUACAGGGGGAUAACACUUAGAAAUAGGUGCUAAUACCGCAUAAGCGCACGGUUCCGCAUGGAACAGUGUGAAAAACUCCGGUGGUAUACGAUGGAUCCGCGUCUGAUUAGCCAGUUGGCGGGGUAACGGCCCACCAAAGCGACGAUCAGUAGCCGGCCUGAGAGGGUGGACGGCCACAUUGGGACUGAGACACGGCCCAAACUCCUACGGGAGGCAGCAG